rnacentral:rRNA from 1 species
GAGUUUGAUCUUGGCUCAGAUUGAACGCUGGCGGCAGGCCUAACACAUGCAAGUCGAGCGGUAGAGAGAAGCUUGCUUCUCUUGAGAGCGGCGGACGGGUGAGUAAUGCCUAGGAAUCUGCCUGGUAGUGGGGGAUAACGCUCGGAAACGGACGCUAAUACCGCAUACGUCCUACGGGAGAAAGCAGGGGACCUUCGGGCCUUGCGCUAUCAGAUGAGCCUAGGUCGGAUUAGCUAGUUGGUGAGGUAAUGGCUCACCAAGGCGACGAUCCGUAACUGGUCUGAGAGGAUGAUCAGUCACACUGGAACUGAGACACGGUCCAGACUCCUACGGGAGGCAGCAGUGGGGAAUAUUGGGCAAUGGGCGAAAGCCUGAUCCAGCCAUGCCGCGUGUGUGAAGAAGGUCUUCGGAUUGUAAAGCACUUUAA